UACGUAGGGAGCAAGCGUUGUCCGGAAUCAUUGGGCGUAAAGAGCGCGCAGGCGGUAUGACAAGUCAGAUGUGAAAGAGGCCGGCUUAACCGGCAAGGGUCAUUUGAAACUGUCAGACUAGAGUGCAGCAGAGGAUAGUGGAAUUCCCGGUGUAGUGGUGAAUGCGUAGAUAUCAGGAGGAACACCAGUGGCGAAGGCGGCUCACUGGCCCGAUACUGACGCUGAGGCACGAAAGCGUGGGGAGCAAACAGG
rnacentral:rRNA from 1 species